UGUUAGUGAUGUGCUUUGUGGUACUGAUAAGAAGUGUGGCAUGCUUGACCUAUUCCCAUGUGCUGGUGCUGCGUGCAGUGAAUAUAGGAAUACGAUGGCUUGACUGAUUGUGACUUGCCACAGAGCUUAUUUUAACAGAGCAUCAUGGAAGAAGCUUGGUUUCAAGUUGGUACGGUCUACUAGGUGACGUUUGAUUUUAUAGGCCUUUUUUCACCAAGGCAUGGGCUUGUGUAGUGUUGUCUUGGUGAUGUGCAAUGUGUAGUAUUCCGUUCUUAGAUGGUGAGGGAUGAUGUUGCAUUGCUGAAUGGGUUCCAGAACAUACAUUCGAGAAUUUUUUUUCAUUUGGUUUGGUCAAUAUUUAUCAUGAUUUGCUUAAAUCAUAUGUGUCGUGGAGUAGCUUCAAAUGCAUGCGUCGUGCAUAGUGCUUAUCUACCCUGAACACAUGAUUACAUUCUUUACAGCCAUGGAACUUUGCUCACUUGUUUCCCCAAAGUUGUUCUUCUUCAUUUGUGUUCUCCCCAAUGCUGCAGAGGUGGCGUAGGUUGAGGGAACUUGAUAAGCUCAAGGGACAUGUGGAAUUUGGUUUGCCAACUAGAAGGCGCUCGGCAUCGAGACGGUCCAGCAGUCCGUACACGGUGUGAUGAUAAAACUUCCAUGAAUGCAUCAGCUACAACUACUUGGAUGCGAUCGUUGUUGUGAUAAAGCUGCAGUGGUGGUGUAGGUUAUUCUUUGAGGUCUCCUAAUCUUCUACAACCUCGGCAGUGGUGGCUGCCUCUUCUUGGUUCAGGUUGAGGGAACUUGGUAAGCUCAAGGGACACGUGGAAGUUGGUUUGUCAACUAGAAGGCGCUCGACAUCGAGACCGUCCAGCAGUCUGUACACGGUGGGAUGAUAUGGGCUUACAUGACUGCCUCCUCAGCUACAACUACUUGGGUAAUUUAGCUUAUUCUCUGAGGUAGCCUAAUCUUCUACAACCUCGGCAGUGGUGGCCACCUCUUCUUGGUUCAGAAACUGGUUGCCCAAAGCUAUUUCUUACUCGUUGACGUACUGAGAUAAACAUUGGUGGAUUCUAGGUGCACGCUCGUGUCUCAGACUCCACAGGGCAC